GAUGAACGCUGGCGGCGUGCCUAAUACAUGCAAGUCGAGCGAACAGACGAGAGUGCUUGCACUCUCUGACGUUAGCGGCGGACGGGUGAGUAACACGUGGGUAACCUACCUAUAAGACUGGGAUAACUUCGGGAAACCGGAGCUAAUACCGGAUAAUAUUUAGCUUCGCAUGAAGCAAUAGUGAAAGACGGUUCUGCUGUCACUUAUAGAUGGACCCGCGGUGUAUUAGCUAGUUGGUGAGGUAACGGCUCACCAAGGCAACGAUACAUAGCCGACCUGAGAGGGUGAUCGGCCACACUGGGACUGAGACACGGCCCAGACUCCUACGGGAGGCAGCAGUAGGGAAUCUUCCGCAAUGGACGAAAGUCUGACGGAGCAAUGCCGCGUGAGUGAAGAAGGUUUUCGGAUCGUAAAACGCUGUUGUAAGGGAAGAACAAGUACGUUAGUAACUGAACGUACCUUGACGGUACCUUACCAGAAAGCCACGGCUAACUACGU
rnacentral:rRNA from 1 species